GGGUUGUGAGGUUAAGCGACUAAGCGUACACGGUGGAUGCCCUGGCAGUCAGAGGCGAUGAAGGACGUGCUAAUCUGCGAUAAGCGUCGGUAAGGUGAUAUGAACCGUUAUAACCGGCGAUUUCCGAAUGGGGAAACCCAGUGUGUUUCGACACACUAUCAUUAACUGAAUCCAUAGGUUAAUGAGGCGAACCGGGGGAACUGAAACAUCUAAGUACCCCGAGGAAAAGAAAUCAACCGAGAUUCCCCCAGUAGCGGCGAGCGAACGGGGAGCAGCCCAGAGCCUGAAUCAGUAUGUGUGUUAGUGGAAGCGUCUGGAAAGGCGCGCGAUACAGGGUGACAGCCCCGUACACAAAAAUGCACAUAUUGUGAGCUCGAUGAGUAGGGCGGGACACGUGGUAUCCUGUCUGAAUAUGGGGGGACCAUCCUCCAAGGCUAAAUACUCCUGACUGACCGAUAGUGAACCAGUACCGUGAGGGAAAGGCGAAAAGAACCCCGGCGAGGGGAGUGAAAAAGAACCUGAAACCGUGUACGUACAAGCAGUGGGAGCACGCUUAGGCGUGUGACUGCGUACCUUUUGUAUAAUGGGUCAGCGACUUAUAUUCUGUAGCAAGGUUAACCGAAUAGGGGAGCCGAAGGGAAACCGAGUCUUAACUGGGCGUUAAGUUGCAGGGUAUAGACCCGAAACCCGGUGAUCUAGCCAUGGGCAGGUUGAAGGUUGGGUAACACUAACUGGAGGACCGAACCGACUAAUGUUGAAAAAUUAGCGGAUGACUUGUGGCUGGGGGUGAAAGGCCAAUCAAACCGGGAGAUAGCUGGUUCUCCCCGAAAGCUAUUUAGGUAGCGCCUCGUGAAUUCAUCUCCGGGGGUAGAGCACUGUUUCGGCAAGGGGGUCAUCCCGACUUACCAACCCGAUGCAAACUGCGAAUACCGGAGAAUGUUAUCACGGGAGACACACGGCGGGUGCUAACGUCCGUCGUGAAGAGGGAAACAACCCAGACCGCCAGCUAAGGUCCCAAAGUCAUGGUUAAGUGGGAAACGAUGUGGGAAGGCCCAGACAGCCAGGAUGUUGGCUUAGAAGCAGCCAUCAUUUAAAGAAAGCGUAAUAGCUCACUGGUCGAGUCGGCCUGCGCGGAAGAUGUAACGGGGCUAAACCAUGCACCGAAGCUGCGGCAGCGACACUAUGUGUUGUUGGGUAGGGGAGCGUUCUGUAAGCCUGCGAAGGUGUGCUGUGAGGCAUGCUGGAGGUAUCAGAAGUGCGAAUGCUGACAUAAGUAACGAUAAAGCGGGUGAAAAGCCCGCUCGCCGGAAGACCAAGGGUUCCUGUCCAACGUUAAUCGGGGCAGGGUGAGUCGACCCCUAAGGCGAGGCCGAAAGGCGUAGUCGAUGGGAAACAGGUUAAUAUUCCUGUACUUGGUGUUACUGCGAAGGGGGGACGGAGAAGGCUAUGUUGGCCGGGCGACGGUUGUCCCGGUUUAAGCGUGUAGGCUGGUUUUCCAGGCAAAUCCGGAAAAUCAAGGCUGAGGCGUGAUGACGAGGCACUACGGUGCUGAAGCAACAAAUGCCCUGCUUCCAGGAAAAGCCUCUAAGCAUCAGGUAACAUCAAAUCGUACCCCAAACCGACACAGGUGGUCAGGUAGAGAAUACCAAGGCGCUUGAGAGAACUCGGGUGAAGGAACUAGGCAAAAUGGUGCCGUAACUUCGGGAGAAGGCACGCUGAUAUGUAGGUGAAGUCCCUCGCGGAUGGAGCUGAAAUCAGUCGAAGAUACCAGCUGGCUGCAACUGUUUAUUAAAAACACAGCACUGUGCAAACACGAAAGUGGACGUAUACGGUGUGACGCCUGCCCGGUGCCGGAAGGUUAAUUGAUGGGGUUAGCCGCAAGGCGAAGCUCUUGAUCGAAGCCCCGGUAAACGGCGGCCGUAACUAUAACGGUCCUAAGGUAGCGAAAUUCCUUGUCGGGUAAGUUCCGACCUGCACGAAUGGCGUAAUGAUGGCCAGGCUGUCUCCACCCGAGACUCAGUGAAAUUGAACUCGCUGUGAAGAUGCAGUGUACCCGCGGCAAGACGGAAAGACCCCGUGAACCUUUACUAUAGCUUGACACUGAACAUUGAGCCUUGAUGUGUAGGAUAGGUGGGAGGCUUUGAAGUGUGGACGCCAGUCUGCAUGGAGCCGACCUUGAAAUACCACCCUUUAAUGUUUGAUGUUCUAACGUUGACCCGUAAUCCGGGUUGCGGACAGUGUCUGGUGGGUAGUUUGACUGGGGCGGUCUCCUCCUAAAGAGUAACGGAGGAGCACGAAGGUUGGCUAAUCCUGGUCGGACAUCAGGAGGUUAGUGCAAUGGCAUAAGCCAGCUUGACUGCGAGCGUGACGGCGCGAGCAGGUGCGAAAGCAGGUCAUAGUGAUCCGGUGGUUCUGAAUGGAAGGGCCAUCGCUCAACGGAUAAAAGGUACUCCGGGGAUAACAGGCUGAUACCGCCCAAGAGUUCAUAUCGACGGCGGUGUUUGGCACCUCGAUGUCGGCUCAUCACAUCCUGGGGCUGAAGUAGGUCCCAAGGGUAUGGCUGUUCGCCAUUUAAAGUGGUACGCGAGCUGGGUUUAGAACGUCGUGAGACAGUUCGGUCCCUAUCUGCCGUGGGCGCUGGAGAACUGAGGGGGGCUGCUCCUAGUACGAGAGGACCGGAGUGGACGCAUCACUGGUGUUCGGGUUGUCAUGCCAAUGGCACUGCCCGGUAGCUAAAUGCGGAAGAGAUAAGUGCUGAAAGCAUCUAAGCACGAAACUUGCCCCGAGAUGAGUUCUCCCUGACUCCUUGAGAGUCCUGAAGGAACGUUGAAGACGACGACGUUGAUAGGCCGGGUGUGUAAGCGCAGCGAUGCGUUGAGCUAACCGGUACUAAUGAACCGUGAGGCUUAACCUUACAACGCCGAAGGUGUUU
rnacentral:rRNA from 1 species